rnacentral:rRNA from 1 species
GACGAACGCUGGCGGCGUGCUUAACACAUGCAAGUCGAACGGAAAGGCCCUGCUUUUGUGGGGUGCUCGAGUGGCGAACGGGUGAGUAACACGUGAGUAACCUGCCCUUGACUUUGGGAUAACUUCAGGAAACUGGGGCUAAUACCGGAUAGGAGCUCCUGCUGCAUGGUGGGGGUUGGAAAGUUUCGGCGGUUGGGGAUGGACUCGCGGCUUAUCAGCUUGUUGGUGGGGUAGUGGCUUACCAAGGCUUUGACGGGUAGCCGGCCUGAGAGGGUGACCGGCCACAUUGGGACUGAGAUACGGCCCAGACUCCUACGGGAGGCAGCAGUGGGGAAUAUUGCACAAUGGGCGGAAGCCUGAUGCAGCAACGCCGCGUGCGGGAUGACGGCCUUCGGGUUGUAAACCGCUUUCGCCUGUGACGAAGCGUGAGUGACGGUAAUGGGUAAAGAAGCACCGGCUAACUACGUGCCAGCAGCCGCGGUGAUACGUAGGGUGCGAGCGUUGUCCGGAUUUAUUGGGCGUAAAAGGGCUCGUAGGUGGUUGAUCGCGUCGGAAGUGUAAUCUUGGGGCUUAACCCUGAGCGUGCUUUCGAUACGGGUUGACUUGAGGAAGGUAGGGGAGAAUGGAAUUCCUGGUGGAGCGGUGGAAUGCGCAGAUAUCAGGAGGAACACCAGUGGCGAAGGCGGUUCUCUGGGCCUUUCCUGACGCUGAGGAGCGAAAGCGUGGGGAGCGAACAGGCUUAGAUACCCUGGUAGUCCACGCUGUAAACGGUGGGUACUAGGCGUGGGGUCCAUUCCACGGGUUCCGUGCCGUAGCUAACGCUUUAAGUACCCCGCCUGGGGAGUACGGCCGCAAGGCUAAAACUCAAAGGAAUUGACGGGGCCCCGCACAAGCGGCGGAGCAUGCGGAUUAAUUCGAUGCAACGCGUAGAACCUUACCUGGGUUUGACAUGGAUCGGGAGUGCUCAGAGAUGGGUGUGCCUCUUUUGGGGUCGGUUCACAGGUGGUGCAUGGCUGUCGUCAGCUCGUGUCGUGAGAUGUUGGGUUAAGUCCCGCAACGAGCGCAACCCUUGUUCACUGUUGCCAGCACGUUAUGGUGGGGACUCAGUGGAGACCGCCGGGGUCAACUCGGAGGAAGGUGGGGAUGACGUCAAGUCAUCAUGCCCCUUAUGUCCAGGGCUUCACGCAUGCUACAAUGGCUGGUACAGAGAGUGGCGAGCCUGUGAGGGUGAGCGAAUCUCGGAAAGCCGGUCUCAGUUCGGAUUGGGGUCUGCAACUCGACCUCAUGAAGUCGGAGUCGCUAGUAAUCGCAGAUCAGCAACGCUGCGGUGAAUACGUUCCCGGGGCU